GACAGAGGGUGCAAACGUUGUUCGGAAUUACUGGCGUAAAGCGCACGUAGGCGGGUCGUUAAGUCAGGGGUGAAAUCCCAGAGCUCAACUCCAGAACUGCCUUUGAUACUGGGAGACUUGAGUCCGGGAGAGGUGAGUGGAACUGCGAGUGUAGAGGUGAAAUUCGUAGAUAUUCGCAAGAACACCAGUGGCGAAGGCGGACUCACUGGCCCGGUACUGACGCUGAGGUGCGAAAGCGUGGGAGCA
rnacentral:rRNA from 1 species